CUCAGAAACUUAAAUGGAAUUGACGGGGGACCCGCACAAGCGGAGGAGCAUGUGGUUUAAUUCGAUGAUACGCGAGGAACCUUACCUGGGCUCGAACGUAAGAUGACUGUAGGUGAAAGCUUACAUCGUCUUCGGAGCAUUUUACGAGGUGCUGCAUGGUUGUCGUCAGCUCGUGUCGUGAGAUGUUGGGUUAAGUCCCGUAACGAGCGCAACCCUUGUCCUUAGUUACCAGCACGUUAUGGUGGGCACUCUAAGGAGACUGCCGGUGACAAACCGGAGGAAGGUGGGGAUGACGUCAAGUCAUCAUGGCCCUUACGGCCUGGGCUACACACGUGCUACAAUGGUCGGUACAAAGGGUUGCCAAGCCGCGAGGUGGAGCUAAUCCCAUAAAACCGAUCGUAGUCCGGAUCGCAGUCUGCAACUCGACUGCGUGAAGUCGGAAUCGCUAGUAAUCGUGAAUCAGAAUGUCACGGUGAAUACGUUCCCGGGCCUU
rnacentral:rRNA from 1 species